rnacentral:rRNA from 1 species
CCUACGGGAGGCAGCAGUGGGGAAUAUUGGACAAUGGGCGCAAGCCUGAUCCAGCAAUGCCGCGUGGGUGAAGAAGGCCUUCGGGUUGGAAAGCACUUUUGUCUGGGAAGAAGUCCAGGUGGUUACAAGUUGGAAAUGACGGUAUCGAAGAAUAAGCACUGCUAUUUUCU